rnacentral:rRNA from 1 species
CCCUUAGGUGUUCUGGGCCGCACGCGUGCUACACUGAGUGGAUCAGCGGGUCAGGUUGCGCGAAAGCGUUUCCUAAUCUUUAAAUCCGCUCGUGAUGGGGAUUGACGGUUGCAAUUUUCUGUCAUGAACGAGGAAUACCUUGUAAGCGCGGGUCAUCAUCCCGCGCUGAAUACGUCCCUGCCCUUUGUACACACCGCCCGUCGCUCCUACCGAUCGAGUGGUCCGGUGAGGCUUUGGGAUCUGAGCGGAAAGAGCGUUUCGCUGUUUCUGCUCGGAAAACUCAGUCGAACCUUAUCAUUUAGAGGAAGGAGAAGUCGUAACA